GUGAAAUAGCAGGAAGCAAGACCGUCUGUGCCCUGUCUCCUCUUAAGGAAUACAGGCAGAGCUUUGUGACUUCCACAUCUAGGGCAAUGUAUUACACCGCAGAGCAGAAGUUCUACUUCAGCGAGAUCAGGCCUGGGAAGAAACUGCGUUUCACAGGCUUUUGUAAGAGAUGUUCCCAGUAGGCUUUAAGAGCACUGUGGAGAGCAUGUUGUUUCUUAGCUUUCCAAAGAGCUGGAAGCAAGACCGUUUGUGGCUCGUCUCCUUUGGUGGCAAUGACUCAGCGCUUUGUGUCUUCCAACUCUAGAGCAAUGUGGGACAUGGCUGAGAGCUGAUGUUCCAAGGCGGUGAGAUCAUGGCUGGAAACAAACUGCAUUUCAGGCCUUUGUAUGAGAGGUUCACGGUAGGCGGUAAUAGCCCUGUGGAAAGCGAGUUCUUUCUCACCAUGCCAAAGAGCUGUAUGUGAGGGUCUGUGGCCUGUCUCCUCUUAAGGAAGUCAGGCAGGCCAUUGUG
rnacentral:lncRNA from 1 species